rnacentral:rRNA from 1 species
AGUGAACGCUGGCGGUAGGCCUAACACAUGCAAGUCGAACGGCAGCACAGUAAGAGCUUGCUCUUACGGGUGGCGAGUGGCGGACGGGUGAGGAAUACAUCGGAAUCUACUUUUUCGUGGGGGAUAACGUAGGGAAACUUACGCUAAUACCGCAUACGACCUACGGGUGAAAGCAGGGGAUCUUCGGACCUUGCGCGAUUGAAUGAGCCGAUGUCGGAUUAGCUAGUUGGCGGGGUAAAGGCCCACCAAGGCGACGAUCCCUAGCUGGUCUGAGAGGAUGAUCAGCCACACUGGAACUGAGACACGGUCCAGACUCCUACGGGAGGCAGCAGUGGGGAAUAUUGGACAAAGGGCGCAAGCCUGAUCCAGCCAUACCGCGUGGGUGAAGAAGGCCUUCGGGUUGUAAAGCCCUUUUGUUGGGAAAGAAAAGCAGCAGGUUAAUACCCCGCUGUUCUGACGGUACCCAAAGAAUAAGCACCGGCUAACUUCGUG